AGAUUGAACGCUGGCGGCAUGCCUUACACAUGCAAGGUCGAACGGCAGCACGGGAGCCAAUCCUGGUGGCGAGUGGCGAACGGGGUGAGUAAUACAUCGGAACGUGCCCAAUCGUGGGGGAUAACGCAGCGAAAGCUGUGCUAAUACCGCAUAAGAUCUACGGAUGAAAGCAGGGGAUCGCAAGACCUUGCGCGAAUGGAGCGGCCGAUGGCAGAUUAGGUAGUUGGUAGAGGGUAAAGGCUACGACCGAAGUCCGUUCGAUUCGUAGUAGGCUUGGUCUGGAGAGGGACGACCAGCCGAACUACGUGGGGACUGACGACGACCGGCCAGACUCACGGGA
rnacentral:rRNA from 1 species